UGCGUAGGCGGCGUUAUAAGUCAGAAGUGAAAGCCUCCAGCUUAACUGGAGAAUUGCUUUUGAUACUGUAGUGCUUGAAUCACGUUGAGGUUAGCGGAAUGUGACAUGUAGCGGUGAAAUGCAUAGAUAUGUCAUAGAACACCAAUUGCGUAGGCAGCUAACUAGGCGUGUAUUGACGCUGAGGCACGAAAGCGUGGGGAGCGAACAGGAUUAGAUACCCUGGUAGUCC
rnacentral:rRNA from 1 species